GCCUGGUUUCCCUGGGAUGAGCAGGGACCAGAUCCAGCUGGGGGCUCCUGGAAAGCCCACCUGGGACACGGGAGGUGCAAGGAGGAGAGCUGAGACCUCUGAGGGUGACUGCCCUGAGAGCAGUGUGGCUGAUCUCUGAGAGCAUCUGGAGUAGCACUCAGCUUUUCCAAAGCCUUUUUCCCCUGCUUUGCAUCACUCAGCGCACAGGAGUGGGACUCUUUGGCCUGAAUUUCCUGCUGCUGGGGUUGUUCCCCAGAAAAGUGGAGUCGUCUCUUCCUGCCUGUGCAUCCCUGAGGUGAACAGCAAUUAAAACUUGCUUGGGCACAUGGUGUGUGCUCAGCUGGAGCACAAUUGCUGUGAUUUCCCUGGAAACCAGAGGGAAACCCUGGGUGCUGCACUGUGAGCCUUUGAAAGAUCUCUGUUUUGGCCUUGGGAGCUGGUCACUGAGCCCAUAGGGUCUGUGUGGCUCAGGGGCAGCUGCUGGAUCAGUCAGUGCAGUGAGGUUGUUCAAGAGUUGGUUCCUUGCCAUGGGAGCUUUUCCCUUCCCCUGAGUGAUUGUGGCAGGUUCAGCUCCGUGCCCUUCAUCUGCCUCACGUGAGACUUUAAUUCUCCUCUUGCAGCCUUAAUGAGUGCCCUGGGCAGCCAAGUUGGAUGUUUUUCCACUGUCCCAAUCAAUGUUUAGUGGCUCUCACCAAAAUGACCCAGGCAGGCUCACCUUGAAGUGUCAGUGCUGUGUUGGGCCAUUUCCAGCUCCUCUCUAUAAAACUGGAACUUCCUCUUAAAGAUUUGAUUAAAUUCUCACUGAAUUCAGUAGCAAAACUGAUAAUAA